GUGGGCCUGGAUGUCAAGGGGUAUGGCCAGUCCAACUUAAACAGAGAUUUGGGGACAACUUUGUGGAUGUUAAUUGUAAUUCUGAUGAUGCAAUUUAACCAUACCUCUCAGGUGCCAAGUUGUUUAACAGUGGAUAGAGGGAUUCCUAAAACAACAAAUACCAGUUUGAAAGAAAAAAGAAACCCAGGUGGUGGUGGGAAGAAAUGUCCACAUAAGUCAUGGUCCCAAGCUGAAAAGAG